AAGGACAGGUGGGGGAGUUAUUUGUUUGUUUAUUUGUUUGUUUUGAUUUCAGAAAGAUGUGAACUCCAGGAUCUCUUGAGAGACUGCCAGAGCCAGCAGCCCCAAGGAUACUUCGAACAGUGGGCACUGGUGCAAUUCUAUAAAAAGAAACCAGAAACCAUUUAGAUGUGUGUCAGGAAGAAGCACUUCCAGAUGCUUGAGGAAAGAUGCAAGAUAGCAAGGUGGGAAUCUGAGAAACAAGGAGUUUAAGGAUUUUGCCAUAAGUCACCUAG
rnacentral:lncRNA from 10 species